rnacentral:rRNA from 1 species
GACGAACGCUGGCGGCGUGCUUAACACAUGCAAGUCGAACGAAGUGGCGAACGGGUGAGUAACGCGUAAACAACCUGCACUGCAGAGGGGGACAACAGUAGGAAACGACUGCUAAUACCGCAUAGUGAAGGUGGGGAGUGCGUGAGAUUAGCUAGUUGGAGGGGUAACGGCCCCACAAGGCGAAGAUCAGUAGGCGGGCUGAGAGGGUGGACGGCCACAAUGGGGCUGCAGAACGGGCCAGAAUCCUACGGGGGGCAGCAGUGGGGAAUUAUCGGAAAUUGAGGGAAAGCCGACGGAACAACGCCGCGUGGGAGGAAGCAGCCUUCGGGUUGGAAAGGUCUUUUAAUCCGGGCGCGGUACCGGAAGAGGAAGCCACGGCUAACUCCGUGCCAGCCGCCGCGGUAAUUC